CAGCCGCCGCGGUAAUACGUAGGGUGCGAGCGUUAAUCGGAAUUACUGGGCGUAAAGCGUGCGCAGGCGGUUUGUUAAGACAGAUGUGAAAUCCCCGGGCUUAACCUGGGAACUGCAUUUGUGACUGGCGGGCUAGAGUAUGGCAGAGGGGGGGUAGAAUUCCACGUGUAGCAGUGAAAUGCGUAGAGAUGUGGAGGAAUACCGAUGGCGAAGGCAGCCCCCUGGGCCAAUACCGACGCUCAUGCACGAAAGCGUGGGGAGCAAACAGGAUUAGAUACCCCCGUAGUCCCUGUCUCUUAUA
rnacentral:rRNA from 1 species